GAUGAAGAACGUAGCGAAAUGCGAUAAGUAAUGUGAAUUGCAGAACUCAGUGAAUCAUCGAAUCUUUGAACGCACAUUGCGCCCCCUGGUAUUCCGGGGGGCAUGCCUGUCCGAGCGUCAUUGCUGCCCUCAAGCACGGCUUGUGUGUUGGGCCUCCGUCCUCCUCCCGGGGGACGGGCCCGAAAGGCAGCGGCGGCGCCGCGUCCGGUCCUCGAGCGUAUGGGGCUUCGUCACCCGCUCUUGUAGGCCCGGCCGGCGCUUGCCGACACAUCAAUCUUUUUUCCAGGUUGACCUCGGAUCAGGUAGGGAUACCCGCUGAACUUAAGCAUAUCAAUAAGCGGAGGA
rnacentral:misc_RNA from 1 species